CCCGUGCGGCGGCACCCCACCGAACUCCCCCAGGGCCGGAAGGCAGCAAGGGCAGGUGAGCUCUACCGGGUGCGCGGGAGG
rnacentral:SRP_RNA from 1 species